rnacentral:rRNA from 1 species
AAUCAACGCUGGCGGCGUGCCUCAGACAUGCAAGUCGAACGCGAAAGGUUCCUUCGGGAGCCGAGUAGAGUGGCGCUCGGGUGAGUAACACGUAGGUAAUUUGCCUUUGGGUGGGGAAUAACAAUCGGAAACGGUUGCUAAUACCGCAUAAUGCAGCGGCUCGACAUCGAGACAGUUGUUAAAGCGGGGGAUCCUUCGGGACCUCGCGCCUAAAGAGAAGCCUGCGGCGGAUUAGCUAGUUGGUGAGGUAAUGGCUCACCAAGGCGACGAUCCGUAACCGGCCUGAGAGGGCGGACGGUCACACUGACACUUAAUACGGGUCAGACUCCUACGGAGGCAGCAGUCGGGAAUUUUGGGCAAUGGGCGAAAGCCUGACCCAGCAACGCCGCGUGAAGGAUGAAAUCCCUCGGGAUGUAAACUUCGCAAGAACGGGAAGAAUAAG